rnacentral:rRNA from 1 species
AGCGAACGCUGGCGGCAGGCCUAACACAUGCAAGUCGAACGAACUCUUCGGAGUUAGUGGCGGACGGGUGAGUAACACGUGGGAACGUGCCUUUUGGUUCGGAAGAACUCAGGGAAACUUGUGCUAAUACCGAAUGUGCCCUUCGGUGGAAAGAUUUAUCGCCAUUAGAGCGGCCCGCGUCUGAUUAGCUAGUUGGUGAGGUAACGGCUCACCAAGGCGACGAUCAGUAGCUGGUCUGAGAGGAUGACCAGCCACACUGGGACUGAGACACGGCCCAGACUCCUACGGGAGGCAGCAGUGGGGAAUCUUGCGCAAUGGGCGAAAGCCUGACGCAGCCAUGACGCGUGAAUGAUGAAGGUCUUAGGAUUGUAAAAUUCUUUCACCGGGGACGAUAAUGACGUUACCCGGAGAAGAAGCCCCGGCUAACUUCGUG